rnacentral:rRNA from 1 species
GAUGAACGCUGGCGGCGUGCCUAAUACAUGCAAGUCGAGCGAACAGACGAGGAGCUUGCUCCUCUGACGUUAGCGGCGGACGGGUGAGUAACACGUGGAUAACCUACCUAUAAGACUGGGAUAACUUCGGGAAACCGGAGCUAAUACCGGAUAAUAUAUUGAACCGCAUGGUUCAAUAGUGAAAGACGGUUUUGCUGUCACUUAUAGAUGGAUCCGCGCCGCAUUAGCUAGUUGGUAAGGUAACGGCUUACCAAGGCAACGAUGCGUAGCCGACCUGAGAGGGUGAUCGGCCACGCUGGGACUGAGACACGGUCCAGACUCCUACGGGAAGCAGCAGUAGGGAAUCUUCCGCAAUGGGCGAGAGCCUGACGGAGCAACGCCGCGUGAGUGAUGAAGGUCUUCGGAUCGUAAAACUCUGUUAUUAGGGAAGAACAAAUGUGUAAGUAACUAUGCACGUCUUGACGGUACCUGGUCAGAAAGCCACGGCUAACUACGUG